rnacentral:rRNA from 1 species
GGGAUAACAGGCUUAUCUCCCCCAAGAGUUCACAUCGACGGGGAGGUUUGGCACCUCGAUGUCGGCUCAUCGCAUCCUGGGGCUGUAGUCGGUCCCGGGUUGGGCUGUUCGCCCAUUAAAGCGGUACGCGAGCUGGGUUCAGAACGUCGUGAGACAGUUCGGUCCCUAUCCGUCGUGGGCGUAGGAAAUUUGAGAGGAGCUGUCCUUAGUACGAGAGGACCGGGAUGGACAUACCUCUGGUGUACCAGUUGUCGUGCCAACGGCAUAGCUGGGUAGCUAUGUGUGGACGGGAUAAGUGCUGAAAGCAUCUAAGCAUGAAGCCCCCCUCAAGAUGAGAUUUCCCAACUUCGGUUAUAAGAUCCCUCAAAGAUGAUGAGGUUAAUAGGUUCGAGGUGGAAGCAUGGUGACAUGUGGAGCUGACGAAUACUAAUCGAUCGAAGACUUAAUCAAAA